UUGAGGCUUUUGAGUGCGUCUACUAGUACUGGAAAAUACUGUAGUAUACAGGCAUGUUUUUGGUUUUUAGGCAAUUAACACUUUUUCUUUUUUCAAAGACAUUUUGUCCAACUUUUAUUUUGCUUAGUUAUAAUAACAUGUCAGUGUUUCCCGGUUCCUUUUUUUAUCACUGGUGUAAAAACGGGCUAUCAUUGUCUUGCCCACUAAUUAGCAAGUCCAGUCAGAGUGCCGGAGGCCUGCAUUCUCAGUGUGUCUCCUCUGAGAGCGGCUCAGUUGCUCCAAUGAAACACUGCAUUCAAAUGCUCUGGUGGCAAAAGAGCAAAAAAUGAUUGAAAACCGAAAGGAAAAAUUCAUGAGGCUGGAUGAGCGAUGAUAAAUGUAUUAGCACCAGAUGACAUUUCCAUCACCACCUCAUCGAUCACCAUGGGGACAUUUCAAAUGGUGGCCUCGUGUGUGUUGGAGUGGGUGUGUGUGUGUGCCAGAUGCAGAAUCGAACACACCGGGAAUGACAAAUGCAGGAAAAAGAAAAACUUGCAGUGAGCAGAAAGGGCACAUGAGAGUGACACGUUGCAUAUGUGAACACAACCAAACCAAAAGAACAGUGUCGUCUUUUUCAGUGCACAAACUUCCCAAAUCCUACACUUUCACAGUUUAAAGUACUACAGAGCUGUGGAGAAAACUUCACUCGACAAAAGAGCAUCAGCUUCUGCAAAUCUAGCACAGACACACUAAUCAUAUAUCCUCCUGUUGUUUGCAUAAUUCUCUCAUGCCUGCAAAAAUCACAAAGGCAGGCAAAGCUCCCUCUUGACAAUGAAGAUGAUCUGCAGAUUACGCGUCCACCUGCCCUCUGAGCCCGGUUGCCUGAUGAAUAACCUGAACCAGUGCGUUUGCAGGAUGAGGUGCAAAUGGCUCCGUAAAUCUGGCCCUUGUCCCCCUGCUCUGCUCUUGGUAUUCAGCGGGUGCUCUCUUGCAGCUCAGACUCUCUUAUCUAAAUCUCCAUUCAGACAGAAAAAAAAGACAGAGCUGCAGCGAAUGAGUGAGAGAUAGAUAAUGCAGGUCACUCUCCAAUGACAGCUCUAAAAGGCAACUGGGGAGAGGAGAGGAAGAGCGGAGGGAUGCAGAAAACUGUCUAUGGAUUUCUGUUCUGUGCUCAGUCCCUGGGAUGCAGGCAGACUCUAGACGCGGUAAAGUGCAGAUUUGGGGUUGUCUCUGCUGUGAUCGACAUUCUUGAACAACUCUACUAAGCGAAUAGAACUGGAGAAAAGCUACAACCCUGACUGCUGAGAGGAAUAAUUAAAGGGAGGAGCGGCGCAGACCCCCAGAGUGGCUCCUCCAAGGACAGCCAUGACAGAAACGGGAUUUUUUUUACGUGACAGAUCUGCAGCUCUCCUGCUAAGCCACCUACACACACAUUCACACACACACACACUUUUUCUCCUGCCUGUUUUCUUGUGAAUACAAGCAGCUUUAAUGUUUUGUCAUCUUUCCUCCGUGUAGAGUAAGUCUACCUAUGUUGUAUUUCCAGUGACGUCAGACGUUUGUUUUAGACUCAAAAAAAGGCUAACAUCACUAAUUAUGAACUUUUUUUUUGAGUAAAAAAAAAAGAAGGUUAUGUUGAUCACUAUGUUGAUGCUGAAAAUAUAAAGGGGGGUGUUAAUCUAAUGACUGAUACAUCCCUCUGUGAAAUUAAAAAUGUUAUUUCUUUUCUAAACGUGUUGCUCAUCUGUUUUCUUCAUGAAAAACAUUUAAAGUUUGACACUGUACAAUAAAAAGUAAAGAAAAGGGUUUCAAAGUAGUCAGUGCCUCUUCUCAUGAUAAGCACACUUUCUCUGAAACCCUUUAGGGUCCCAGGGUUGCUGGAGCCUAUCCCAGCUACUGCUGGGCAAGCAAGAUCCAUUCAUUAACUUUUUGGAGUGUGGGAGGAAACCGGAGUACUCGGAGGAAACCCACACAUGCUCGGACGCACAGAAUGGUCCCAGCUGGGAUUUGGACCAGUGUCUUAUUGCUGUCGGGUGGGAGCGCUAAGCCAAGGUCUCAAACUCAAGGCCUCCAUGGUUUCCAACUAACCUGUCAUUGAAGCUCCUUAAUUGUUAAACACCUGAUCCAGGUAAUCUUAAUAAUAAUUUCCCAAAAAGCAGUGGGAAUGGCGGCCCUGACACGCCCCUUUCUACCGCUACCCCUCUGUGAAUUAGGUGCGAUCAAACGUUAAGAUAUCUACAUUAUUUAUUUUAUGCUGUCAUUUGUUUAUAUUUGCCAAGGACAACUUAUUUAUAGUGUAACUUUUGAUUUAAAUGUUAUAAUCACUUAAACACUACAAAGAGGCAGAAACAUUACAAACCAAUGUAAACCCUAUUAAAAAACACAUUAUCAGUCAUCAAAAUUCAUUUUUGCAUUAAAGUUGCUUUGUCAGGGUUGAUACUCUCUGAAUUUUUUUUGUUCUAGUUUUCAGUUGCUGCAUGUUGUGGCAAUGCAUGUGUUGUAAAAUGAGCUCUUUGAACUCUCUGAGGACAAUCAGGAUAAGAUUAGACGGACGGAGGCAGAUGAUUCGCUGUAGCGGCCAAAGAGAACAGCCGAAAGACAAAAAAUAAAAAUAUAUCCUAAAGCUCGGCAUCAUAACAGCUACUAAAAGUCUUUAAAGAUGUGUGUCUAACAAUAAUUGCAUAUCAGUGUGACAGUUGUUAAAGGGAAGAUUUACUUUGAUCACAAAAACAGCAUUUUGGUUCAGAAAAAUGAACUGAUUGGUUAGAACUUUUCCUGUUUGAACUCAGUUGUGUGUUUACGUGUAUUUAGGUGAAUUAAAUUGAAUUAUAUGUACAGGCACAAAAUCCUCAGGUUUACAUUGUGUAUUUCACUUGCACUCUUGAUUUUUAAUUGGGAUUUUUGCACAGUUUUAUGUUUCAAUGUUCUUUUCAGCACCUUUUCAUGAUUUUAGUACAUGACUCUGAAUGCAGUUGAGGCUGAAUGCAGAUGUGGUUGACUAAAAUAAACGGAUGUGAUAGUCACAAGAUCUAUAGGCGUCUGCAGGAAAAGAAUGGAAAGCUCUUGCUCAGAUACAUCACCGGCACAUCUUUGCCUUUCUGAAUGUGUUCUUCAGUCUCUCGGUGUCUCAGCGCAGAGGUUGUUUUUGUUUGCCUUAACUCAUUCAGUAAGUCUUUCCGCCAACUUUGUGCUCUCACACCAAGAAUUCCAACCGCCAAAGAAGGCUUUUAUUUUGGCAAACAUUCCACUGUAUUGUGAUGCACCAAGCGAGCCGGGUUAGUGGCUUCCUGUCUGUUGUUGGGGAGACUGCCGGCUGCUGCAGACUGUUCACCAGGAACAAACAACAGCCACGGAAAAGACUAGAAAAACAGAGGAGCUGUCUGCAUCAUAGUCGCCUCGUUUGUUAGCCGCUCAUUCUGCGCCAGUGUGUGUUUUACCUCCUGCGGGUUCUCCCUGCGGGUCCAGCACACGCAUCAUUAAAACGUGCUUCCCUCAAACUGCAGUUUACUGUAGUGUUAUGCAAAUGAGCUGUUGUUCUUGUUGCCUCUGUCUGCUUCCUGCAUGGAGCUCUUUACUACCUCAAAUCUCUGACAUCCACUAAUAUAAUAUCCCUUGUGCUAUCUUGUGGGGUCAUCUGGACCCCACAAGACAGUACGCUGAACCCUUUUUCUUCAAUGAUUUGUGAUCUCCUCUCCACCUUUGUCAUGGUAGGGAUAACAUGUCAGUGUGAGGGUAGGGUCAUCUGGACCCCAUAAGAUAGCACAAGGGUUAACAGCAGGACUUCCUCAUCCACAGCCCUUACCGGACCACCCAAGCACAACCAAAUCCCUUUUCAGUGCGUCCCCUUUGUUUCAACUAAAUGUCAUGCUAACUCGUGGCUUGGUCACAUGCGCCCGAACGGGGGUCGACCUUGUGACUUGUGAAGCCACCUGAUGGGACGUCAUGAAAAUGGAACGUAGCACUGUCGUGCGUGCGGUAAGUGAAGUAUUUGUAAGAAUAAUGUACAGGCAGUGUCACACAGCCAGCUGACCAAAAUUGGUCAUAUGUACGCAAACGCUGCAUGCAUGGGGUGUGCAGGUGAGGUGUAGCGCCCAUAAGACGCCCGUGGGUUGCCCUCACACACUACCCACUGAUUGUCUAAUUUCCUCCAUUCUAACAGCUAAGCACAGAGCAUGCACUUCUCCACUGGACAGCACUUCCAGGUCCCUUGUGUAGUAUGCAGGUAUGGCAGGGGAUUUAAAAAUGAAACAUCUGUACGACACACCUGCAGAAGCCUCGUGCCUGUAGAAGAAAAUGUGCACGAACAUUUUUGUCCUGCAGGGCCACCGAGGGGUCUACAAUCUUACAAUUUCGUGAGGACCACCUGCGUGCCCUGUACAGAUUUGCCCAUUUUUCGCCCACAGACGGCCCAUCCACACACAAGGGCAGUUGUGACUAACCAUCCCCCUUCAGUAUUAUUGUAUUCUCACAAAAGAAAUGGGUCUGUGAAACAAAACACACAUCAAAAUGUGUACAACUGUUCGCCUUAUAAAUGAGUUUUGGCAUUUGAAAGGCCAAAGAAACUUCACAUCUAUUCCUCUGUGACUUUCAUCUGGUGUUUGUGCUGAGAGUUGACGUUACGAGCAACGCUGUGACCUUGGCGCUCGUAAUGAAAUUGAGAUGAGGACUGUGCUUAGGGGAGGCUUUUCUUUGGAUGUAAAGGCAGAGCGUGAAUGCAGAAGCAGUGGUUUCAGGGCAAUAACUUCAGCGAGGGUUCCUCACCAACAGUUAUGAGAUGAAGAAAAGGAGAAAUAGAAGCUGGGCUGAGCCAAACGUUUGCCCAUGGAAAAUGGAGAGCAUAUGAAAUAUGAGUAAUAGUAGUUGGGGAGGUGGGGGUGGACACACUGAACCCAGACAUUGCUUAGCAUGCCCAAUGCAUCUAGUGCCAAAAAUAGCUUGGGAUUUUGCCAAAACAACACACCAGUUCAUGCACAUGGAGGAGCCGGGGCCCCAACCAUGGAAAACUCAUCAAAUUAGGAGUCUUGGGGGGGAAGGAGAAAAAAGAGAGAAAGAAGUAAAGAAUCCCAUCAAAGUAGGUAGUUUGAGUCUGUGAUUGCUGUCAGAGUAGGUUUGUCUCAACAGAGCUGUUUGUGGCUCCACACAAACCUUUCCAACCACACACUCCGGAGUCGCUUCUGCUUUUUCUUUUUUUUUCUUCUUUUUUUUUGAUGUUUCUAUUUCUCUGUCGUGUUUCCUUCCUUUUUCCACCUACAAACCGCAGUUCCCCUGCUCUCCUUCCCCUCCCUGUGUUUUUUUUAAAAUUCCAUGGUCAGUACCCGAAAUGUCUGGAAAAUGCUGACAAACCUCAGGAGCAUAUGCUUCAGCCAAAAUAUCCUAUAUUUAUAUAUAUAUAUAUAUAUAUAUAUAUAUAUAAGUGGAUAUGAUUUAAGGCUAUUCCAUCUUUGAGCUUCCCAGAGGUGGAAGUAACUUUUCCACAAACAGCUACAGCCGUUCAUUUCAGUCUGUUCUCGUCAACUGAAAAUCUGCCUCAUUGCUAACUAAUUAAGCAUUUU